UGCCGGCCCGGGAAGCCUCUUGCGGACCAUGGCGCGCAGCCGCUGGCACUCAGCCUCCAGCUGCGCGAUCCGCUUCUGGUGCUCCGCCUGCUGCCGGCGCGCGGCGUCGACGGACUUGAGGUCGUACUCCCGCUCCUGGCCCCGGACCUCCAGCUCCUUCUGGAGCAUGCGCACCUCGUACUCCAACGACCCGGCUUGUUUCUGCGCCGACUCUAGCCUCGCCGUCGCGUCGGCGAGCUUGUCCCCAGUGGCCGCUGCGGACUCCCUCAGCUCCCCGAUCAGCGCGUCCUUGACGUCAGCGGCCUUGCAGAGGUUGCUGUUCUCGGCGGCGAGCUUCGCGAUCUUCUUGUUCGCGUCCUCCAGCUUCAGCUGGAGCUCGCGCACUUUCUUCUUCUUGGAGGAUAUCUCGUUGGCCGCCUCGACGAUGAUCUGCUCCCGCUCUUCUCUGGCAACCACCAGCCGCUCCAUGCAGGGGAUCGAUGUGGCAUUGCACCUCGUGGACGUCGGGUCGACGAAGACAGUCGGGGCGCACUGGCAAGUACGUCAGGAAAGUUGUGAAACCGUCGUCCGAACACAGGAGAAAUGUGGAGCACGACAUCGGACGUGCUCUCGAGGAGUUAGGUCGAUCGACAGCACGUGUGAAUAUUACUCAAGGCGAAAAGAGGGGGGAAAAAAGGUCAACACUUUUUGGUGCUGAAUCAAAGCCAUCCAUCACCCCAGUGCACCUAUCUGUGAGAGACAUGAGUUCUUCACAAUCACAUUGCGCGUUUUUUCUUUCUUUGGAAGGACUGACCGGAUGAACAGUCCUUAAGGCGUAAGCGACCGUUCCUCUGCACUUGUCGUCGGCUACUGGUAGUUUGCAGCGGUUGGGCAGUGCGUAGCGUCGUCUAAGGCGACGGAUCGGGGUGGAAUGCCAGGACAUGAACGGGACGCACUUGUCACUAGCGCAGCCAGAGACGCGUCGCGUCCCCGUCGCCCGGCUGCUGCCUGCCGGUGCCGUGGGGCAGUCGCGUGAGGUGAGCUCGGCACCGAACGAACCACUGGCGCCGUUUGC